rnacentral:lncRNA from 1 species
GUUGAUCUGAGGUGACCAGUUUCAUGCAGUUUCCUUUUGCCAUACAUAGUGUCACCAACUUAAUGUGCCAUGUUAGAGACACGCUGGCCAAAACAACUAGAAAGGGCAAACAUCUUGGCAACAGAAAUCAACAUAGUGGCUCCAGAGUGCAGGCUUUUGGUCCUGUCUCAUUGGAUUUUGUGCCUUCUGGAGGGAAUCGCUGUCGGGUCUUCUUGCUUUUGCCCCUCAACCGCAGCAACUCAGAACUGUGGCAUUGCGGGGUUCUCCUGUCACCGAGAGUUUGUUGGGCAACGUUUCCCUGUGAACUGUUCAAGGUGUCCUUUCAGUACCCUGUUGAUGGCUAGUGUCACUCUCUGUGAUAUAGCGUGUACCUGUUGUGGAUGUCAUUGUGUGUGAGAUGGCAGCUUCACUGAGGUACAUGUGAGUGCCUAAGGAAUGCAUCUAAGGAUAAGUAAUUUUUUUGGCUCAUACUUAAGGUUUGCCUUACACACACACACACACACACACACACACACACACACACACAUAUACACCACUAAGUUAAAGUGUGCCCCUGAAGUAGCUUGUGAUUAAUUAUAGCGACUGGUGUACUAAACCAUCUGUCAUGGCCAACUGGCCUGUGAGUUUGUAGAGCCUGAGCUCGUGCCUGCUUUCCGUGGAGAGUGCAGGAGGGCAGCGAUGCCUGCUGGUUUACUGUGUGACUGCUCUCAGGCAAGAAGCUGGGCGCUGAAAAGCUGGCCAACAGUGAGGCCUGCCGGCAGUAGCUUUCCUUUUCCCUUGCUGAAGGGUGCGAGAGCCGGGCCCUUAGUGUAUACUGAGAGACCUGACUUGUCCUGGUUUUAACUUUGACUGCUGUUCUGUUUGUAAAGCCCAGUGCUUUCUUGCCUUGGUAAUAUCAUGAGUGUAAGGUGUGUACUCCAGUGUCCCAGUGCAGGCGUUGGUGGCAUGAUCGAUGGAUAUUUGGAUGGUUCUACAUCUGGUCCUUUUUGCCAAAAAGAAUCUAUCAUUUAAAUCCAUGGGGUUAGAGGACCCCGGUGCUGCUGGACAUUUGAGUGCGUGCCCAGUAGCAUGUGUUCUGUGUUCAUUUAGCAAACAUUGUGCAUUGGCCACAACUAGCUGCACUGAAAGCAGAGGUCAGUCCCUCCAGAAAGCAGUUGUCUGGUUAUAUGUAAGCUCUGUGGUGAGCACAGAAAUCCUUCCUGACAGAGCAGGAUCUCUGACUUCCUCCAUUGUGACUAUUACCAAGAAAAAACAAGAGCUCCCGACUAGAGGCAGCAUCCUCCUGGGCAUCUGCAGCUUCCUCUGAAGCAGGCAGCAUGUCCAGACCCGAUGUAGUCUAGGUUCAUUCUGAAGUGUUGGGUUACUUACACGUAAUGUCUGCAGGAUUGUUCAGAAUUUAAAGAACUGUGGGGCUCAGCCAAAAAGCCACAGCCCGCAUUUGCACAGUCUGACCCCACACCCCGAAAGUCAGGUCCUUUUGUAAAGUGAAAUACUGCUGUGUGAAGAGGGAGACGAAACGUAGUAGACAGAAUAGAAAAGGUGCUCAACCCUCAGUGUGCUGACUUCCCCACCCCUGAACCAUGCCUCGGAGUUGAGGCUCCGUUGGGCACUGGACCGAAUGCCUUGGGGUGCAUAAAGUGAUUGUGCCUAAUUCAAGAUUCCAUCUUCAGUCCCACAGCCUUCCUGCUUACUGACAAAGAACCACACAAGUGUCUUAGUUGACUUCAACAUUUUUUUAUAUUUUACAGAGUUGCCUUAUAAAUAAAAGAACAACACAGAUUUAGACCUUAAUUUUUCCUUUAAUGGGGAAAGGGCUUUGUUCCAUGUUUUCUUAUGAUCUUAGUUCAAGAUGUGCAGCUGCCACCAGGAUAUCCGUAAUGGCCUGAGCUGUCGCUCUCCGACAAAUGCUCUCCAUAUUCAGUGGAGGCCUCCGUAGCAGCUUUUCUGUCUGGAAAGGGUGCUCAUAGCCAGAGGGAAGCUUCAGCCAGGCAAGAUGGGGUGUCCUGAAGAGGAGCAUGUUGUUUUUUUUCUGUUUGUUUUCCUAUCGCAGUGCAUUGUGGGUACUUCACACUCAGAGGGUCUCCGGAGAAGUUCUCAAGUUGGGACUCAGCAGGGAAACGCUUGUUAAGUUAGUGGCAGCUGGUGAUUUAAAGUAAGAGAAAGUAAGACCACAUUAGUGCCAGAAGUGAUAAGAAUUGUCAGAUGCAGCAAAAAGCAUGUGCCUCCAAGUAACUCUUACCUUCCAGUGUGUAUGCCCGAUGCUUGGGCUUCUGUUUUGAUGGCAUGUAUUUCUCAGUGUUGGUAUUCACAUCCGGUUAUGCCUACUUUGUAUGAAGAAUAAAAUGGCCAAGCUAUGCGGUUAUAUCCUGAAACUCAAGCUAUUUGGAAAACCCUCAAAUUGGUGCUUUCAUUAUUUAAUGAUACAUUUAGACAAAACCCCAAACAAACCAUCUGAAACAUGACUCCGGGUUGCAAUUUGCAGCGAUGUCAUUUUCCUCAUUGGAGAAGAACAAGCGCCCGUGUUAAUUUGAAUUUCCUGUAUGAACCCAUACAUCCUACCUGUAAAGCCCAGUCAAACAUUUGUAAGAAAUUCCAUAAUAAACCUAGAGAAAGCC